CCACUUUCUAGUCGCCGACACAGCAGAAUUGCUCAUGAAAAUUAAGGACAGGUUAAUAAUCCAGAGGUUAGAAUGUACACCAGUUUAUGGAUCUCUCUGCAUGACCCCCAAAAAGAAUUUGAGGUUUAGUUGAGCUUAUUGUUCAUAGGUACUUCAGACUUGAUGCAAGCAGCAAAAGGGUUAGCUCCGUUGCAGCCUGAGAUAAAAUGCUUAGGCUAAUGCAGAAAAGACCAAGAAGAGCAGCCUCUUCAUCUAACUUUCCUUACGUUACGUAAUAUUCACCUUUGUUCUCCACAAGGUAGUCAUAUGGGGAAACCAAUCCAUAGUCGACUAUUUCAUUUGCUGCUGCACCGUGAUUCUGAU
rnacentral:lncRNA from 1 species